GUCUGCUGUUAAAGGCUGGAGCUUAACUCCGGUAGAGCAGUGGAAACUGGUGCGCUAGAGGGCGACAGGGGUAGAGGGAAUUCCCAGUGUAGCGGUGAAAUGCGUAGAGAUUGGGAAGAACACCGGUGGCGAAAGCGCUCUACUGGGUCGCACCUGACCCUCAGGGACGAAAGCUAAGGUAGCGAAAGGGAUUAGAUACCCCUGUAGUCUUAGCCGUAAACGAUGGAUACUAGGCGUGGCUUGUAUCGACCCAAGCCGUGCCGAAGCUAACGCGUUAAGUAUCCCGCCUGGGGAGUACGCACGCAAGUGUGAAACUCAAAGGAAUUGACGGGGGCCCGCACAAGCGGUGGAGGAUGUGGUUUAAUUCGAUGCAACGCGAAGAACCUUACCAGGGCUUGACAUCCCGCGAAUCUCGGUGAAAGCCGGGAGUGCCUUCGGGAGCGCGGAGACAGGUGGUGCAUGGCUGUCGUCAGCUCGUGUCGUGAGAUGUUGGGUUAAGUCCCGCAACGAGCGCAACCCUCGUCCUUAGUUGCCAGCAUUGAGUUGGGCACUCUAGGGAGACUGCCGGUGACAAACCGGAGGAAGGUGAGGAUGACGUCAAGUUAGCAUGCCCCUUAUGCUCUGGGCAACACACGUCCUACAAUGGUCGGGACAAAGGGGAGCAAGCUCGCGAGAGUAAGCGAAUCCCAGCAAACUCGGCCUCAGUUCAGAUUGCAGGCUGCAACUCGCCUGCAU
rnacentral:rRNA from 1 species